rnacentral:rRNA from 1 species
UACGUAGGGUGCGAGCGUUGUCCGGAAUUAUUGGGCGUAAAGAGCUCGUAGGCGGUCUGUCACGUCGGCUGUGAAAACCCGAGGCUCAACCUCGGGCCUGCAGUCGAUACGGGCAGACUAGAGUUCGGUAGGGGAGACUGGAAUUCCUGGUGUAGCGGUGAAAUGCGCAGAUAUCAGGAGGAACACCGGUGGCGAAGGCGGGUCUCUGGGCAGUAACUGACGCUGAGGAGCGAAAGCGUGGGGAGCGAACAGG